AAGCAAAUGUCUUCUAUGGAAAGGAAUGGAAGGCAGAAGUCAAGGGAGAGAGCUGUGUCAGUGCCCUUUUUACUUCUUGAAUUCAGAUCUCCCUAGAAAUACUGAAAGAAACGUACUGAAAGCACAUGGAGAAAAAAGACAGUUGAGGAAACUGCCAAUGUGUCAGUGGUGGACCUGACCUGCCGUCUGGAAAAACCUGCCAAUUAUGAUGACAUCAAGAAGGUGGUGAACCAGGCAUCGGAGGGCCCCCUCAAGGACAUUCUGGGCUACACUGAGCACCAGGUUGUCUCCUCCGACUUCAACAGCGACACCCACUCUUCCACCUUCAAUGUGGGGGCUGGCAUUGCUCUCAACGACCACUUUGUCAAGCUCAUUUCCUGGUAUGACAAUGAAUUUGGCUACACCAAUAGGGUGGUGGAUCAUGGUCCACAUGGCCUCCAGAAAGUAAGAACCCUGGACCACCAGCCCCAGCAAGAGCACGAGAGGAAGAGGGAGGCCCUCAUUGCUGGGAAGUCCCUGCCACACUCAGUCCCCCACCACACUAAGGCUCUCCCCUCUUCACAGUUUCCAUGCAGACCCCCUGAAGAAGGAGGGGCCUAGGGAGCCUGACCUCAUCAUGUACCAUCAACAAAGUCCCUUGUGCUCAGCCAAUAAUAAUAAUACAGGUAUAAAGUAUUAUUGAAAAAUGCUAAGAGAGGGGAUGUUGUUUGUAGCACAAAAUGCAUCUCUACUAGGUAAUGCAUAUAUUAAUUGGAUAGACUUAGUAAUUUCACAAUCUAUAGAUACAUCAAAACCUUAUGUUGUACAUGAUAAAUGUGUAUAAUUUUAUCUGUCAAUUAAAAAAUCAUAAACAAAUUUACUAAUGGUAAUCUAAUAAAGUAAUGUUUAAGC